rnacentral:rRNA from 1 species
AUUGAACGCUGGCGGCAUGCUUUACACAUGCAAGUCGAACGGUAACAGGGAGCUUGCUCCGCUGACGAGUGGCGAACGGGUGAGUAAUGCAUCGGAACGUACCCAGUCGUGGGGGAUAACGUAGCGAAAGUUACGCUAAUACCGCAUACGUCCUGAGGGAGAAAGCGGGGGACCGUAAGGCCUCGCGCGAUUGGAGCGGCCGAUGUCGGAUUAGCUAGUUGGUAGGGUAAAGGCCUACCAAGGCGACGAUCCGUAGCGGGUCUGAGAGGAUGAUCCGCCACACUGGGACUGAGACACGGCCCAGACUCCUACGGGAGGCAGCAGUGGGGAAUUUUGGACAAUGGGCGAAAGCCUGAUCCAGCCAUGCCGCGUGAGUGAAGAAGGCCUUCGGGUUGUAAAGCUCUUUCAGGUGGAAAGAAAACGCAUAGGUUAAUACCUUGUGCGGAUGACGGUACCAUCAGAAGAAGCACCGGCUAACUACGUGCCAGCAGCCGCGGUAAUACGUAGGGUGCGAGCGUUAAUCGGAAUUACUGGGCGUAAAGCGUGCGCAGGC